CUGUUGGACCCAAGUCAAGAAAAUCAGUUAUUGCAGGUUUAACUGCAUUUAACCUGUGUCCUACAGGUGGAAAGGAGAGAAUGUUUCUACCACAGAGGUGUCUGAGGUUUUAGGUCUUCUUGCUUUUAUCCAGGAGGCCAGCGUCUAUGGAGUCGCCAUACCAGGAUAUGAAGGUCGAGUAGGUAUGGCUGCCAUCGUCCUAAAACGGGAUCACACAUUAAAUGGAACAAAACUCUACAAUCAUUUAGUAAAAACUCUUCCUGCAUAUGCCUGGCCGUGGUUUCUCAGAAUACAGACAUCUCUGGAUGUGACAGAGACCUUCAAGCAACAGAAGGUGAAGCUGGUCCAGGAGGGUUUUAAUCUGGAAGUCACCCAGGAUCCUCUUUAUUUCUUAGAUGUCUCUCAGAAGGACUAUAUUCCCCUGACUGUAUCUCUAUAUGAAGACAUUGUGUCUGGAAAGAUCAAUUUAUAAACAUUUUAGGAUGAGUUAAUGCGGAAGUACUGUCAUUCACAUUAUAUCGAAGGAUACGCUAAAGAUAAUCCAUGAUGUAGCUACAUUUCAAUUUGUCUGUACAUUUCAUCAUGAAACUGCAAACUUUCCCCUGCACAAAAAAAUUGUGGGAUUCAAGCCCAGGAUUGGAACAAGUUUUGUGUAAAAAUGUUAACCACAGCUAUCACACUAAUAAUAAAUGGGUACAAAAAAAAUAGGGUUGUACCAUUUUGCGGUUUGAACCCUAAUAAAAGCAGAAUCAGUAAACAUUCAA